rnacentral:lncRNA from 1 species
GCAGCUCUGCCUCUGUGAGAGCAAACAGUUUUGGCUGUACUUCUAGAAGUCCAGAAGCAAAAGUGACCAGAGAAAAGCAGAUACUGCAGACAUUUGCAGAGAAGUGCUAUCAUCUUCUUUCUGAUGGGGACACAGAAACUCCGGGCUCCAUCCCAAGUUGUGGUACUAGGAAAUACAGGUUUCUCUUUACUGAGGAAGCCUUUGGAGUGGGUCCAGCCUCAGCCCCCUUCUAACUGCCUCUGAAUGAGACCCAGAGUGAGAACUGCCUGGUUGAGCCCAGUCAACCCCCAGAAUUCAAUGACUGACAGAAAUGGUAUGUGUAUACCCAGCCCCCAGCCCCAUGACGGGAUAACUCUGAGAUGGUUCUGCGCUGGCUCUGGAGAUCCCCAUCAGGAUUAAAGCCCAGAUGCCCCUGCUGGACAUCUGCUUGAUGGUACACUUCCCCGGCUAAUUUCCCUACCUUUUGCUAGUGCUUCCUGGGGUCCACUUUCAAAUAAAC